GCUGUUGUGGUGGCAUAUAAGAGACACAAGGGACUUAAGAUCCCUUGAUAGCAAGUAUCGUGCGGGUUCGAUUCCCGCCAAUAAUACCA
rnacentral:tRNA from 1 species